rnacentral:rRNA from 1 species
GAUGAACGCUGGCGGCGUGCUUAACACAUGCAAGUCGAACGGAGUUUACUUAACAGAUUUCUUCGGAAUGAUGUUUUUUAAACUUAGUGGCGGACGGGUGAGUAACGCGUGGGUAACCUGCCUUACACAGGGGGAUAGCAGUUGGAAACGACUGGUAAUACCGCAUACCUUACAUUAUUCGCAUGUUUGAUGUAAGAAAGAUUUUAUCGGUGUAAGAUGGACCCGCGUCUGAUUAGCUAGUUGGUGUGGUAACGGCAUACCAAGGCGACGAUCAGUAGCAGGACUGAGAGGGGGAUCGGCCAGAUUGGGGCUGAGAUACGGCCCAGAGUCCUAGGGGAGGCAGCAGUGGAGAAUAUUGCACAAUGGAGGCAACUCUGAUGCAGCGACGCCGCGUGAGUGAAGAAGUAUUUCGGUAUGUAAAGCUCUAUCAGUAGGGAAGAUAAUGACGGUACCUACAGAAGAAGCCCCGGCUAAAUACGUGCCAGCAGCCGCCGCGG